AGACGCUGGUUUCUUCUUCAGAACGUAAUAAUCGUUCGCACUUUUACUAAAGAUUUCCGUGGAGAGGAGCAAAACUGAGUUUUUUGGCAAUUUUUGCAUGCUCCAGCUUGCUGGGGCU